AAAAUAAUCCUACCCUUUGUGAAUUUGUUUGUUUGAAUAAUUUUUUUUUUUAAAAAAUUAUUGGAGUCUUUCCCUUUAGAGUUUGCUUUUGAGUUUGUAAAAGAAUUCGAAAACAUCUAAAGGGGAUGGUCAAUAAUUUUUUUUGAAAAAAGACAUUUUUUAAAAUUAAACUUUUUGUAUUCAUUUGUCUAAAAAUUAUUUUUAUAAUAUAAAAACAACUUUUGACAAUGGAUCUCUUGGUUCUCGCAACGAUGAAGAACGCAGCAAAAUGCGAUAAGUAGUGUGAAUUGCAGAAUACGUGAAUCAUCGAAUCUUUGAACGCAUAUUGCACUUUUUUAGUUUACUAAAAAGUAUGUCUGUUUGAGUAUCAGUAAAAUAUUCUCAUAAAAAUCAUUGUGUAUUUUUAUGGUUAUGAGUGUUUUACAACGAUACAAGUUGUUUCACUUUAAAUUUUUUUUAAUAUUGAAAUUUUCUAAUUUUAAUAAUUAAAAUUGGAUAAAAUUUUCCCGUCAAAAGGAAUAACCUAAACAAUUUUAAAUGAUUAAUUUUAGCAAAAUUUUCGAAAAAGGAAAAUUUUUAUUAAAAUAACUUGAUCUCAAAUCAGAUAAGAGUACCCGCUGAACUUAAGCAUAUCAAUAAGCGGAGGAAAAGAAACUAACAAGGAUUCCCUUAGUAACGGCGAGUGAAGCGGGAAGAGCUCAAAUUUGAAAUCUUCAAGGUUUUACCUUGACGAAUUGUAGUUUAAAGAAGUGUUUUCUGCUGAAGUUUUGGUAAAAGUUCUUUGGAAUAGGACAUCAUAGAGGGUGAGAAUCCCGUAUUUGACCAUUAUUUUCAGCUUUGUGAUACACUUUCAAAGAGUCGGAUUGUUUGGGAAUGCAGUCCAAAAUGGGUGGUAAAUUUCAUCUAAAGCUAAAUAUUGGCGAGAGACCGAUAGCGAACAAGUACCGUGAGGGAAAGAUGAAAAGAACUUUGAAAAGAGAGUUAAACAGUACGUGAAAUUGUCAAAAGGGAAGCGUUUGACACCAGUGUUGUUUUCUCGAAAAUCAAUUAAAAAUGGCUCGAUUUUGUAUUGCUGAGACCUUAAAAGCUCACUGUACAUUUUUCGUGUCUUUUUUAAUGCACUUUUCGUUUAACAAGUCAACAUCAGUUUCUUUUGUUGUAAAAGGGUCAUUGGAAGGUGGCUUUCUUUUCGGAGAAAGUGUUUAUAGCCUUUGGCCUCUGCAAUCGAGAGACUGAGGUCUGCAGCGUAGACUCUUCGGGUUAGAUACAUUUGUGCUAAGUUAUAGCUUUUUAUAGACAACUUGUUGACUAUAAUUAGUCUUGUAGCUUACUCGCUUAUGCUAUUUUACCUACGCUUGGAUG
rnacentral:misc_RNA from 1 species